rnacentral:lncRNA from 1 species
CGCUUCUAGGCAUUGGCAAGUGUUUCUCCAAUAGUAGCACGCAAUACCUGAAGAUCGUAGUUUCUUAAACGGUGUACACGAAUCAAUACAAGUUCAAGUGUUACUCACUACUACAACGAAGUCUUCUAAACGGCUUUGACUCUUUUCUAACAAUCCAAGUAACUUCUCAAAUUAAGAUUGAACAUCAGUGGGCCUCCAGUCCGUGUGAGACAGAAUGCAGCAGUCCAACAAGAGCGAGCCUGUCCCUAUGCUGACUCGCGUCCGCAGCAAGACGUUCAUCGUCACCAGCGAAAUGCAGGAAGUGCUGCCGAGUAUGGGCAGCGCAGUCAAGGGGCUUCUGACCAACUGGCUGAAGUCUGGGAGUCUCUUCGCCGCGCAGCAGAAAGGCUUUAUCCUUCCAGGAACGUGGACUCAGACCGUUUCUCUUACCCAAUGACAGAGGCACUAUGAGAUACGACAAUAUUCAUUCAGUGUCAGUCAAGAUCGCACUUCUGCUGAAGGGAUGCAGUGCUCUAACCAGCCCAAGAUGGAUUUCUUAACUAUGGAGCAUUACUGAUAUAUUAGAAAGUUCUUCGACUUGGAUUACGUAAUUAAGAGAUGGAAAAUAUUUCUUCGCAUUCUUCUUGUUUAAUCCAAAGUGACCAGGGAACUGUCAAGAAAAAUAACAAAGUUACUAAAAGUGUUAAAGUAUGAAGAUCGAUAAGCAAAUGUCCCUGGACCCCUUGUGUCAGGGUACGCUUCCAAGCUUUAAAAUGCUGUCACAUUGAUAUAUCUCAAUGAUUUUAUAAUCAGCAGAUAUAAUUCUUUCUGUACUAUAACGUCCAGAGUUUGUUCAUGAUGCGAAAUGUGAUGACAGACUGUUUACCAAAUGUGAUAUAUAUGUUUAAGUUUAACAUGAAAUGUACAACUAUAUUAUAUUUUUGUAUGACUUAUAAUCACUUCUAGUAUUAUUCUAGA